rnacentral:rRNA from 1 species
UACGUAGGUGGCAAGCGUUGUCCGGAUUUACUGGGCGUAAAGAGCGCGCAGGCGGUCGUUCAAGUCGAGUGUGAAAGCCCCCGGCUCAACUGGGGAGGGUCACUCGAUACUGAUCGACUCGAAGGCAGAAGAGGGAAGCGGAAUUCCCGGUGUAGUGGUCGGAAAUGCGUAGAUAUCGGGAGGAACACCAGUGGCGAAGGCGGCUUCUGGUCUGCUCUGGACGCUGAGGCGCGAAGCUAAGGGUAGCAAACGGGAUAGAGUCCCA